GGCGAGACCGUGCAAGAGGCGGGGGUAUGCCGUAGGGGGCAAGCGGUAUACGGAUUGACUGGGGGUAAAGGGAGCGUAGGUGGCUAGGUAAGUCAGGUGUGAAAGCCCGGGGCUCAACCCCGGGAUUGCACUUGAAACUACUUAGCUAGAGUGCAGGAGAGGUAAGUGGAAUUCCUAGUGUAGCGGUGAAAUGCGUAGAUAUUAGGAGGAACACCAGUGGCGAAGGCGGCUUACUGGACUGUAACUGACACUGAGGCUCGAAAGCGUGGGGAGCAAACAGGAUUAGAUACCCUAGUAGUC
rnacentral:rRNA from 1 species